AUUGAACGCUGGCGGCAGGCCUAACACAUGCAAGUCGAGCGGAUGAAGGGAGCUUGCUCCUGGCUUCAGCGGCGGACGGGUGAGUAAUGCCUAGGAAACUGCCUGGUAGUGGGGGAUAACGUCCGGAAACGGGCGCUAAUACCGCAUACGUCCUGAGGGAGAAAGUGGGGGAUCUUCGGACCUCACGCUAUCAGAUGAGCCUAGGUCGGAUUAGCUAGUUGGUGGGGUAAAGGCCUACCAAGGCGACGAUCCGUAACUGGUCUGAGAGGAUGAUCAGUCACACUGGAACUGAGACACGGUCCAGACUCCUACGGGAGGCAGCAGUGGGGAAUAUUGGACAAUGGGCGAAAGCCUGAUCCAGCCAUGCCGCGUGUGUGAAGAAGGUCUUCGGAUGGUAAAGCACUUUAAGUUGGGAGGACGGGCAUUAAGUUAAUACCUUGCUGUUUUGACGGUACCAACAGAAUAAGCACCGGCUAACUUCGUG
rnacentral:rRNA from 1 species